CCUACGGGAGGCAGCAGUGAGGAAUCUUGGUCAAUGGGCUUACGCCUGAACCAGCAAAGUCGCGUGAGGGAAGACUGCCCUAUGGGUUGUAAACCUCUUUUGUCAGGGAGCAACGCCGGCUACGUGUAGCCUGACUGAGAGUACCUAAAGAAAAAGCAUCGGCUAACUCCGUGCCAGCAGCCGCGGGAAUACGGAGGAUGCGAGCGUUAUCCGGUUUGAUUGGGUUGAAAGGGAGCGUAGGCGGAAUGCCAAGUCAGCGGGAAAAUCGAGCGGCUGAACCUCGCUACGCCGGUGAAACGGGCGAUCUUGAGUGGGCGAGAGGUAUGCGGAAUGCGAGGUGUAGCGGUGAAAUGCGUAGAUAUCACGAAGAACACCGAUUGCGAAGGCAGCAUACCGGCGCGCAACUGACGCUGAGGCACGAAAGCGUGGGUAGCGAACAGGAUUAGAUACCCGUGUAGUC
rnacentral:rRNA from 1 species